rnacentral:lncRNA from 1 species
CUACAUGAAUGUAUUUAUCACAAUAAAAUAAGUCGAGUUAGUCUCGUCAUCCAUCUCGCCCAAGCUUUUCUUACUGAAUGCAAUGUCCAGCGUGGCAAACUGACCCAUCCAUCUAUAUAAAACCAAGUCCCUUCGAAGCAAGUAAAUAAGCAAGUCAACAACAAACUAUUCUUAAUGAAUUUAGGGUAGACUACGCGACUCUGUUGGGCUCAAAAUUUGAGAUACACGGGCUAAUAAUUGCAUAAAAAGUAAUCUGGAUUACCAUGCUAGCCCAUCAAUUCAGCAACAUCAAACCAAUUUUUUUACCAGGUUGAAAAAAGAGAAGAAAAGAGGUCCAUACAAAACCCUAACUGCACAUACUGCCCAAAUCUGGGGAACCUCAAGGUGUUUGAUGAAUUAAUAGUGCAUUCAUCCUAGAAAUGUAAAUUCGAUUGCUAGAAUCUGUACAUGAUGGCUCAUUUCAGGCAUGAGAUAGCCAUAACACAGAUUGGGAUUUUCGACUUGCAGCAGGCUGGUCGAGUUCGUCCAAAAUCAAGUUGUAGCAGACUAUGACAAUUCGACAUCAGCCACCUUAGAAUUAUUCGUGAUCACCAGACUUCGUCAUUGUCCUGCAGAUGUUCCCAGUAAGCCAGUAAUAUCCUGACAAUGGCGCAGAGUUGCCCUUAUGGCCUCUAACAUUUCAUUGAUGUUUAUACGUCUCCUGCA